rnacentral:misc_RNA from 1 species
CCUUAAGAUGACGAAGUUGUUGAGUGUUCACACAGAUUGCCUUGAUUCAAGUUUAGAGACAGUACACAGAAGUGGGUCUGUAGCUCAGGUGGUUAGAGCGCACCCCUGAUAAGGGUGAGGUCGGUGGUUCGAGUCCACUCAGACCCACCACUUCGUUCCCGAUUAUGGGGCUAUAGCUCAGCUGGGAGAGCGCCUGCUUUGCACGCAGGAGGUCUGCGGUUCGAUCCCGCAUAGCUCCACCAUAAUCGGUACUGUAUUUUGCGAGAAGCAAAAGCCAUGCAUUGAACGAUGUUCAAUCUAUGUCUUUGACUUCUUUAUGAAGUUUGCUCUUUAACAAUCUGGAAAGCUGAUUUAAAAAGUAGUUCUCAAACAUUGUUACAAGUGCUUGGAAACUUCUUGGCGAAAACCAAAAUUUAUUUUGGUCCUUGUUGUACGACAACAGGCUGUGCCGGUUUCACCGACACUUCUUGGGGUUGUAU